rnacentral:rRNA from 1 species
AUUGAACGCUAGCGGGAGGCUUUACACAUGCAAGUCGAACGAGUGGCGGACGGGUGAGUAAUAUCUGGGAACGUGCCCAGUAGCGGGGGAUAACUACUCGAAAGAGUGGCUAAUACCGCAUACUAUUGGAGCUGCCGAUAUGGGAUUAGCUAGUUGGUGGGGUAACGGCUCACCAAGGCAACGAUCCCUAGCUGGUUUGAGAGGAGGACCAGCCACACUGGGACUGAGACACGGCCCAGACUCCUACGGGAGGCAGCAGUGGGGAAUAUUGGACAAUGGGGGAAACCCUGAUCCAGCCAUCCCGCGUGUAUGAGAAGGCCUUCGGGUUGUAAAGUACUUUUGGCAGGGAAGCGGUAUCUGCAGAAUAAGCACCGGCUAACUACGUGCCAGCAGCCGCGGUAAUUC